UGGUACAUAAUUUUGGUUUCAUUGCACAAA
rnacentral:piRNA from 1 species